rnacentral:rRNA from 1 species
AAGCAGGGGAUCGUAAGACCUUGUGCUUUUGGAGUGGCCGAUGCCUGAUUAGCUAGUUGGUGGGGUAAGGGCCUACCAAGGCGACGAUCAGUAGUUGGUCUGAGAGGACGACCAGCCACACUGGGACUGAGACACGGCCCAGACUCCUACGGGAGGCAGCAGUGGGGAAUUUUGGACAAUGGGCGAAAGCCUGAUCCAGCAAUGCCGCGUGAGUGAAGAAGGCCUUCGGGUUGUAAAGCUCUUUCAGUCGAGAAGAAAAGGUUGCGACGAAUAAUCGUAACUCAUGACGGUAUCGACAGAAGAAGCACCGGCUAACUACGUGCCAGCAGCCGCGGUAAUACGUAGGGUGCGAGCGUUAAUCGGAAUUACUGGGCGUAAAGGGUGCGCAGGCGGCUUUGUAAGUCAGAUGUGAAAUCCCCGGGCUUAACCUGGGAAUUGCGUUUGAAACUACAAAGCUUAGA